ensembl:snoRNA
UGGAUCAAUGAUGAGUACCAUGGGGUAUCUGAAAUAAGUAUUUUGAUUACACCCAUCUGUAACUCUGAGGUCCAUU